rnacentral:rRNA from 1 species
GCAACGAGCGCAACCCCUACGUUUAGUUGCUAACGCGUGAAGGCGAGCACUCUAGACGAACUGCCGUUGACAAACGGAGGAAGUGGGGAUGACGUCAAAUCAUCAUGCCCCUUAUGUUCUGGGCUACACACGUGCUACAAUGGCCGGUACAGACGGACGCAAAGCCGCGAGGUGGAGCAAAUCCUAAAAAGCCGGUCUCAGUUCGGAUUGCAGGCUGCAAUUCGCCUGCAUGAAGUCGGAAUCGCUAGUAAUCGCAGGUCAGCAUACUGCGGUGAAUACGUUCCCGGGCCUU